AGUGAACGCUGGCGGUAGGCCUAACACAUGCAAGUCGAACGGCAGCACAGUAAGAGCUUGCUCUUACGGGUGGCGAGUGGCGGACGGGUGAGGAAUACAUCGGCAUCUACUUUUUCGUGGGGGAUAACGUAGGGAAACUUACGCUAAUACCGCAUACGACCUACGGGUGAAAGCAGGGGAUCUUCGGACCUUGCGCGAUUCAAUUAGCCGAUGUCGCAUUAGCUAGUUGGCGGGGUAAAGGCCCACCAAGGCGACGAUCCGUAGCUGGUCUGAGAGGAUGAUCAGCCACACUGGAACUGAGACACGGUCCAGACUCCUACGGGAGGCAGCAGUGGGGAAUAUUGGACAAUGGGCGCAAGCCUGAUCCAGCCAUACCGCGUGGGUGAAGAAGGCCUUCGGGUUGUAAAGCCCUUUUGUUGGGAAAGAAAAGCAGCAGGUUAAUACCCCGCUGUUCUGACGGUACCCAAAGAAUAAGCACCGGCUAACUUCGUG
rnacentral:rRNA from 1 species